rnacentral:rRNA from 1 species
CGCCUUUUGACUACCAAUAAAAGGUCCAGCCUGCCCAGUGACUUUGUUCAACGGCCGCGGUAUCCUAACCGUGCGAAGGUAGCGUAAUCACUUGUUCUUUAAAUGAGGACUAGUAUGAACGGCAUCACGAGGGUUAUACUGUCUCCUCCCUUUAAUCAGUGAAACUGAUCUUCCCGUGAAGAAGCGGGAAUAAAUCUAUAAGACGAGAAGACCCUAUGGAGCUUUAAACACACUACAAUUGCCUCACUCUAUGUUAAUCUCUGGAAAACCACUUAUUCGGGCAUUUUGAUAGCAAGUUUUAGGUUGGGGUGACCGCGGAGCAAAAAACAACCUCCACAGCGAACAGGACUUUCCCUUAAGCUCAGGAUUACAACCCUAAGAAUCAAUAAAUUGACACCCAUUGACCCAAUUUCUUGACCAACGGACCAAGUUACCCUAGGGAUAACAGCGCAAUCUACUUCAAGAGCUCCUAUCGACAAGUGGGUUUACGACCUCGAUGUUGGAUCAGGGUAUCCCAGUGGUGCAGCCGCUGCUAACGGUUCGUUUGUUCAACGAUUAAAACCCUACGUGAUCUGAGU